rnacentral:rRNA from 1 species
AGCGAACGCUGGCGGCAGGCUUAACACAUGCAAGUCGAGCGGGCGCAGCAAUGCGUCAGCGGCAGACGGGUGAGUAACGCGUGGGAACGUACCUUUUGGUCCGGAACAACCCAGGGAAACUUGGGCUAAUACCGGAUAAGCCCUUACGGGGAAAGAUUUAUCGCCGAAAGAUCGGCCCGCGUCUGAUUAGCUAGUUGGUGAGGUAACGGCUCACCAAGGCGACGAUCAGUAGCUGGUCUGAGAGGAUGAUCAGCCACAUUGGGACUGAGACACGGCCCAAACUCCUACGGGAGGCAGCAGUGGGGAAUAUUGGACAAUGGGCGCAAGCCUGAUCCAGCCAUGCCGCGUGAGUGAUGAAGGCCCUAGGGUUGUAAAGCUCUUUUGUGCGGGAAGAUAAUGACGGUACCGCAAGAAUAAGCCCCGGCUAACUUCGUGCCAGCCGCCGCAGUAACAC